rnacentral:rRNA from 1 species
GUGAACGCUGGCGGUAGGCCUAACCCAUGCAAGUCGAACGGCAGCACCGUAAGAGCUUGCUCUUACGGGUGGCGAGUGGCGGACGGGUGAGGAAUACAUCGGAAUCUACUUUUUCGUGGGGGAUAACGUAGGGAAACUUACGCUAAUACCGCAUACGACCUACGGGUGAAAGCAGGGGAUCUUCGGACCUUGCGCGAUUGAACGAGCCGAUGUCGGAUUAGCUAGUUGGCGGGGUAAAGGCCCACCAAGGCGACGAUCCGUAGCUGGUCUGAGAGGAUGAUCAGCCACACUGGAACUGAGACACGGUCCAGACUCCUACGGGAGGCAGCAGUGGGGAAUAUUGGACAAUGGGCGCAAGCCUGAUCCAGCCAUACCGCGUGGGUGAAGAAGGCCUUCGGGUUGUAAAGCCCUUUUGUUGGGAAAGAAAAGCAGCAGGUUAAUACCCCGCUGUUCUGACGGUACCCAAAGAAUAAGCACCGGCUAACUUCGUG